UGUUGGGCCUGACUGUGAACAGUGCAUUAGCUCCUUCUAAGUGCUUGCUUUUUCCUGAUAAUUUUCCUGCUUCCAGCUCUCACUGCACUCCCAGCCAUUGAGCCAAGGAGAUGUGAUGCUGAAUUUCUCUGUGCUUGGGAAAAUUUGAACGGUGCAAAGCAUUGUGAGCUGCCAGGGAUCUGCAGGGGAUGAGAAGAAUCCUUUUCCAGUGACUUCUGUGCCACGUGAAGCCAAGACAAGAAGACCUCAAGUUAGGACAAGCUUGCUGCUGAACAAAGCCAAGUGAGGGGACCAAGAACCGGCCUGACCUCAUCCACGGAACGAGUCAGAAGUUACAGUGACCCAGACUGGAACCAAGUGCCUUAACUGGGUCUCCAGGAUGUAAAUAGUUCAAAGUUCUCUGUUGUUUUGAAGCCUUAAAAAACUUUUUUUCAUUAAUUUUCUUAUUGUUCAAUGCAAAGCACCUGCA